GAUGAACGCUGGCGGCGUGCCUAAUACAUGCAAGUCGAGCGAACGGACGAGAAGCUUGCUUCUCUGAUGUUAGCGGCGGACGGGUGAGUAACACGUGGAUAACCUACCUAUAAGACUGGGAUAACUUCGGGAAACCGGAGCUAAUACCGGAUAAUAUUUUGAACCGCAUGGUUCAAAAGUGAACGACGGUCUUGCUGUCACUUAUAGAUGUAUCCGCGCUGCAUUAGCUAGUUGGUAAGGUAACGGCUUACCAAGGCAACGAUGCAUAGCCGACCUGAGAGGGUGAUCGGCCACACUGGAACUGAGACACGGUCCAGACUCCUACGGGAGGCAGCAGUAGGGAAUCUUCCGCAAUGGGCGAAAGCCUGACGGAGCAACGCCGCGUGAGUGAUGAAGGUCUUCGGAUCGUAAAACUCUGUUAUUAGGGAAUAACAUAUGUGUAAGUAACUGCGCACAUCUUGACGGUACCUAAUCAGAAAGCCACGGCUAACUACGUG
rnacentral:rRNA from 1 species